rnacentral:tRNA from 1 species
AGAUGAGAAGUAAAAAAUUUACAGUUAGUUUCGACCUAACCUUAGGAAUAUUAUCCCUAUCUA